rnacentral:rRNA from 1 species
AGAGUUUGAUCCUGGCUCAGAUUGAACGCUGGCGGAACGCUUUACACAUGCAAGUCGAACGGUAACGCGGGAAGCUUGCUUCUCUGGCGACGAGUGGCGAACGGGUGAGUAAUACAUCGGAACGUGUCCGCUCGUGGGGGACAACCAGCCGAAAGGUUGGCUAAUACCGCAUGAGUUCUACGGAAGAAAGAGGGGGACCCGCAAGGGCCUCUCGCGAGCGGAGCGGCCGAUGACUGAUUAGCCGGUUGGUGAGGUAACGGCUCACCAAAGCAACGAUCAGUAGCUGGUCUGAGAGGACGACCAGCCACACUGGGACUGAGACACGGCCCAGACUCCUACGGGAGGCAGCAGUGGGGAAUUUUGGACAAUGGGCGCAAGCCUGAUCCAGCUAUUCCGCGUGUGGGAUGAAGGCCCUCGGGUUGUAAACCACUUUUGUAGAGAACGAAAAGACACCUUCGAAUAAAGGGUGUUGCUGACGGUACCUGAAGAAUAAGCACCGGCUAACUACGUGCCAGCAGCCGCGGUAAUACGUAGGGUGCGAGCGUUAAUCGGAAUUACUGGGCGUAAAGGGUGCGCAGGCGGUUGAGUAAGACAGAUGUGAAAUCCCCGAGCUUAACUCGGGAAUGGCAUAUGUGACUGCUCGACUAGAGUGUGUCAGAGGGAGGUGGAAUUCCACGUGUAGCAGUGAAAUGCGUAGAUAUGUGGAAGAACACCGAUGGCGAAGGCAGCCUCCUGGGACAUAACUGACGCUCAGGCACGAAAGCGUGGGGAGCAAACAGGAUUAGAUACCCUGGUAGUCCACGCCCUAAACGAUGUUAACUAGUUGUUGGGAAGUAAAAUUCUCAGUAACGCAGCCAACGCGAGAAGUUAACCGCCUGGGAAGUACGGUCGCAAGACUAAAACUCAAAGGAAUUGACGGGGACCCGCACAA